UGCACUGGUGCAUGACAAUGUGUCCCAACAGGAUGCACCUGUUUGAUGAAGAAAAAAAGCCCAUUAUUUUAGCAUUUAGACAAGUUUGCAAUGAAGAAAAUGUGUCUAACACCAUUAGUACUGACUGUAAAUGACUUAAAUCAGAAUUAGGGGCAUUUAAAUUUCUGUUCACCUCCAACACAUCAGCUGCUGGAAAAUGCUACUCAUGCUACUCAUCAUAGAGAAACUGAGAUCCACCCCCCGGCCCCCAAAAAGCUUUUUCAUGUACCACUGUUAAUUUAUGAUACAUUUUUCGGAAGAACAUUACCUUCUCUCUCUCUCUAUCUCUCUAUCUCUCUCUCUUUGUAGAUGUUCUCAAAAAGAGUUUCACUUCUGGCAAUUAUCUCGGCACUGACCUCAGGAGAUUCUCAUGCAAAUCACACCCACGCCUGCCUACUUAUGCCAUAGAGAUUCCGUCCUGAAUCAGGCUGUAUCUCCCCACAUCAAGGAUGGCAGACAAGCUCCCGCUGCUUCUGCUCUUACUUGGUCUCCCUAGUGUAAUAUGUGAUGGUCUGGAGUCCAUUCCAUCAAAUCCAGUACUACAGGAGCCUGGGACAAUUCUCAGUCUCUCCUGUAAGGGGUCUGGAUUUAAUUUUGGAAGCUAUGGCAUGCACUGGAUAAGACAAUCUGCUGGGAAGCCCCUGGAGUGGAUGGGGGUUAUCUGGUAUGAUGCCAGUAAAACUGUUUAUGCAAAGAGUGUGGAGGGACGGAUAGAAAUCACCAGGGACAACGGCAACAGCAUGGUGUAUCUGAAACUGUCUGCUCUGAAAGCUGAAGACACAUCUGUGUAUUACUGUGCUGGAUACACAGUGUCACAUGUGUGUGGCUUAGCUGUACAAAAAGAUCACGGAUUGUUGAAAAGCACUCAGCAAAUUUCAGACAUUCUGGAGACACUGUGAGCAUUAGGCUCAGAACAAGCUGUCAUUCCGAACAUGUACUCUAUGAAAUAUAUUGUUGUACAUGUAGCUGAGUGGAGAAACUCUCCCAGUUUCCAUAUUUAAUAUAUUGGGGUAGUAUCCCCAAAACGCUGCUGAAUAGGGGCGGCUACUAUCACUUUAAGAGCUCUCCAAGCUUUUCGCGUUUCACGCGAUAACGCGGGAUUUUGGGGCUGAAGAACAUGGCGUGGCGCUUCGGCAUGCCUACACGGUAUAACUCUGGCAGGUGCGCACGGUUAAUCUGGGUCAUAGAGGGACGGGAAUUAACCAGUUUAUAAGAGCUGUUGAGGGAUUCCUGGUGGAGAUCAAACCACUUACGUAUUUAUUUUGGGUCGUACUUAUUUGGUCGUACUCAUGGGCGUAAAUCCCGGGGGGGACGGAGGGGACAUGUCCCCCCCCUAUCCGAGGGUUGUCCUCCCAAAAAAUAUUUUAAAAAUAAUAAAAAGUCGCACUAUCU